CCAUGAUCUCCUCAUCUCUCUGGUUGUUGCUGCUGCUGGCAGCUGUUUCCUGUGUCCACUGUGUUGAACUGACCCAGACUGAUUCUCUUGUCUUAAGUCCUGGUCAGGCUUUGACACUGUCCUGUAAAAUCUCUGGAUAUUCAGUGACUGACAGCAGCUACUGCACUCACUGGAUACGACAACCUGCAGGAAAAGCUCUGGAAUGGGUUGGAGAGAUAUGUGGUAGUGGUGACACAUAUUACAGUGAUAAACUGAAAAGUAGAUUUCAAGUUACUAGAGACACUUCCAGUAACACAAUGACUCUGCGAGGACAGAAUAUGCAGACUGAGGACACAGCUGUGUAUUACUGCGCCAGAGAGAGAAAACAUAGUAUUGAUUCAUAUGAACUCACUCAGCCUGAGUCUCUGACUGUCCGUCCUGAUGCCACUCUCACUAUCAACUGUAAAGUCUCAUAUUCAGUUACAAGUGAUUAUACAGCCUGGAUUCGUCAGCCUGCAGGAAAAGCUCUGGAGUGGAUUGGAUAUAUCUGGAGUGGUGGAAGCUUAUACUACAAGGAUUCACUGAAAAGCAAGUUCAGUAUCACCAGAGACACUUCCAGUAACACAAUAACACUGCAAGGAAAGAAUAUGAAAGCUGAAGACACAGCUGUGUAUUAUUGUGCCAGAGAAACACAGUGA